GCACCCUUGGAUGAUAUUGAAUCAUCGUUUCAGAUUAAUUGUUCUUUUAUUAUUUUUUUAUUGUUUUGGUGAGAUCUACGACACAGAGAACAAAAGCGAGAGAGAGGAGAUGGAGUUCGUAGAGGAGAAGAAGAGUAAAAGGAGACCACUACAAUCUCAUCUUCUCCAUCUCUUAAAAUCCUCUGCAGAAAACUCCUUUUCUCAAUCCAUCUAUCCUCAUCAUCAUUGUCUCUCAGUCCCCAUCUCACCUUACUCUCAAACCACCGCUACAAUCCCUCUCGCCGCUUCUCUCUCCGUGCCCAGAACGAAAACGUAGCAGACUAAAGGGGGAAGUCUCAGCCUUUCUUUGCCAUGGACCUCCCCUUAAUCUGAACAGGCUGCCAAGUCCCAAGCCGAGGAAGCUCAAGCCAUGGAAGAAAGCUAGUCGGAGAUGGCAGAGAUCGCAGAGAAAGCUGGCGGCAGUGGUGGUGUAGGUGAAGCCGAACAAGAAGAAGAAGAGAAGAAAGAGACCUAGAAAUUUUAUUAGGUUUUGUUAAAUUUUUUGGUUUAUUAAGGUUGGUUAAUUAGGUUUUGGUUCUUUUUUUUGGUUUGAUGUAUAAACUGAUUUUAUUGUAAAGAAAUUUAAAUUAAUGAAUAAAUUUUAAAUUUAAA